rnacentral:rRNA from 1 species
CCUACGGGUGGCAGCAGUGAGGAAUAUUGGUCAAUGGGCGCUAGCCUGAACCAGCCAAGUAGCGUGAAGGAUGACAGCCCUAUGGGUUGUAAACUUCUUUUAUAUGGGAAUAAAGUGCAGUAUGUAUGCUGCUUUGCAUGUACCUUAUGAAUAAGGAUCGGCUAACUCCGUGCCAGCAGCCGCGGUAAUACGGAGGAUCCGAGCGUUAUCCGGAUUUAUUGGGUUUAAAGGGAGCGUAGGCGGGUUGUUAAGUCAGUUGUGAAAUUUUGCGGCUCAACCGUAAAAUUGCAGUUGAUACUGGCAGACUUGAGUACAGGAGAGGUAGGUGGAAUUCGUGGUGUAGCGGUGAAAUGCUUAGAUAUCACGAAGAACUCCGAUCGCGAAGGCAUUGUGCCGGAGUGUAACUGACGCUGAGGCUCGAAAGUGUGGGUAUCAAACAGGAUUAGAUACCCGUGUAGUC